UACGUAGGGUGCAAGCGUUGUCCGGAAUUAUUGGGCGUAAAGAGCUCGUAGGCGGUCUGUCGCGUCUGCUGUGAAAACUCGGGGCUUAACCCCGGGCCUGCAGUGGGUACGGGCAGACUAGAGUGCGGUAGGGGAGACUGGAAUUCCUGGUGUAGCGGUGAAAUGCGCAGAUAUCAGGAGGAACACCGGUGGCGAAGGCAGGUCUCUGGGCCAUAACUGACGCUGAGAAGCGAAAGCAUGGGGAGCGAACAGG
rnacentral:rRNA from 1 species